rnacentral:rRNA from 1 species
UACGUAGGGGGCAAGCGUUGUCCGGAAUCAUUGGGCGUAAAGAGCGUGUAGGCGGCUCGAUAAGUCUGCUGUGAAAGUCCAGGGCUCAACCCUGGAAGGCCGGUGGAAACUGUCGGGCUAGAGUCCGGAAGAGGCGAGUGGAAUUCCCGGUGUAGCGGUGAAAUGCGCAGAUAUCGGGAGGAACACCAAUGGCGAAGGCAAUCCCCUGGGCCUGCACUGACGCUGAGACGCGAAAGCGUGGGGAGCGAACAGG